rnacentral:lncRNA from 1 species
GAGCAUUUGCCUUCUCAACCUUAAUGUUGGGUAAACUAGGACAACACUCCACUAGAUGCUCAGAACUGUUACACAAGAUACAUAAGCCCUGUGGCUCAUGUUCCACUUUCAUGAUGGGAUUUGACUCUUUGUGUGAGUUCGAGUUAGUGGAAAUAGUAAAAGCAUCCAACUUUUUGCUCAGAUUGUUCACCCCAUUCACCAGAUUGGACAUAACAUUCUUGAGUUCUGGGU